GUCUACAGCCAUGUCACCCUGAAUAUGCUGAUCUCAUCUGGUCUCAGAAACUAAGUAUGUUUGGGCCUGGUUAGUGUUGAAU
rnacentral:rRNA from 1 species